rnacentral:rRNA from 1 species
GAUGAACGCUGGCGGCGUGCCUAAUACAUGCAAGUCGAGCGAACGGACGAGAAGCUUGCUUCUCUUAUGUUAGCGGCGGACGGGUGAGUAACACGUGGAUAACCUACCUAUAAGACUGGGAUAACUUCGGGAAACCGGAGCUAAUACCGGAUAAUAUUUUGAACCGCAUGGUUCAAAAGUGAAAGACGGUCUUGCUGUCACUUAUAGAUUGAUCCGCGCUGCAUUAGCUAGUUGGUAAGGUAACGGCUUACCAAGGCAACGAUGCAUAGCCGACCUGAGAGGGUGAUCGGCCACACUGGAACUGAGACACGGUCCAGACUCCUACGGGAGGCAGCAGUAGGGAAUCUUCCGCAAUGGGCGAAAGCCUGACGGAGCAACGCCGCGUGAGUGAUGAAGGUCUUCGGAUCGUAAAGCUCUGUUAUUAGGGAAGAACAUAUGUGUAAGUAACUGUGCGCAUCUUGACGGUACCUAAUCAGAAAGCCACGGCUAACUACGUG